rnacentral:lncRNA from 12 species
UCACGGGAGGACUCGGGGUGCGGUCUGUAGGGCCUGAGAACGUGGGGUUGCGGGAGCGGGACCGUCUCUUCCCGUCCGUCGGGCGGGGGCCCCCAGGGCUGGGGCUGCUGGGAUGCGGGACAGCCGCCGGUGGGGAGGCCCCACGCGGGGUUCUAGGACCUGCCCGGUGCCGCAGCCAGCGCCAGUGCAGGGGUCACCUAGCGCUCCUCUGUUGGCAGGUCUUGGCUCGCUCAGGAGGUACUCAAGUCCUUGUGAGUGAAUGAAUGGGCAGCCGCUAAGCACCACGGGCGUCCUGAGCUCCUCCUCCACCACUUCCAACAGGUCGAGGAACCGGACUCGCUAUCGGACCAAAGCCGUGAGCUCCGAGGUGGAUGAGAGCCUCUUUGGAGGUGCCAAGGUAAUGCUCGCCAGCACCCCCCACCCCGAGAGCCGGGCCCUGGAGGCAGUGACCCAGGCUGGAGUCGCUCAGGGUGACGCUAGCACGGGGCAGGCCGUCCCCUCUCCCGGGUGGCUCUCUGAGGGAGACCGAGCAGCUGGACCCACCCAGUGGGGCCCAGGUGAACAGGGGUGCCUGGCUCUCUCCACCCCUGCAACCUUCAUUUAAAAUCUGUGGUAGCAUCGAGGGGGGCUCUGCUGCAGGGAGCAGAUGGCUGCCCAGUGGGUGCCCCAGGAUGAAAACGUUUGAGGGCUGCCAACCGAGCUCGUGGACGACCCUCCGUCCAAGCGCAGCAUCGGAGCAAACCACAGGUCCUCCGGGGUGCGUUGGCUUUGGGAACCCCCAGCAGGUCUUCACGGGCAGUGUUGUCCCCACUGGGAGGCCGACAGCAUAUUCCGGGCAGAGAAGGGGGGCUAGCUAGAGCACGCCCCGAAAUGUUCCAUCACACGGCAGGUGCAGAAGGUAGGGAGACAAGGACAGAACGGGAAGGGGACGUGGAGAGAGCACAGCGAGAGACAGAGGGACAAAGGGGGGGACGGGAAAGACGCCAGAAGCCGUGGGAGCGCUGGGUGCACCCCUCUGAGGCGGGCAGGCGGCAGGAGCCGAGCGGACGUGUGUGCUCCUCCCUGUCCUCGCCCUGAGCCCAAGAGGACUUUCCAGGGGCACCUGGGUGUUGGGUCGGCUGAGCGUCCAACUCCUGGUUUGGGCUCCGGUGUGAUCUCAGGGUUGUGAGAUCGAGCCCACCUCCUCCCUCCUCCAGCUCCGCCUGGCGGGUCUGCUUGGGGAUCCCGUCUCCCUCUCCCAAUGCCUCGGCCCUCACUCCAGUCGCCCGUCUCUCUCUCUCCCUCUCUCUCUCGUAAAUAAAUAAAUCUUAAACAAACA